rnacentral:rRNA from 1 species
GUGCACGCUUGCGGUAGGCCUAACACAUGCAAGUCGAACGGCAGCACAGUAAGAGCUUGCUCUUACGGGUGGCGAGUGGCGGACGGGUGAGGAAUACAUCGGAAUCUACUUUUUCGUGGGGGAUAACGUAGGGAAACUUACGCUAAUACCGCAUACGACCUACGGGUGAAAGCAGGGGAUCUUCGGACCUUGCGCGAUUGAAUGAGCCGAUGUCGGAUUAGCUAGUUGGCGGGGUAAAGGCCCACCAAGGCGACGAUCCGUAGCUGGUCUGAGAGGAUGAUCAGCCACACUGGAACUGAGACACGGUCCAGACUCCUACGGGAGGCAGCAGUGGGGAAUAUUGGACAAUGGGCGCAAGCCUGAUCCAGCCAUACCGCGUGGGUGAAGAAGGCCUUCGGGUUGUAAAGCCCUUUUGUUGGGAAAGAAAAGCAGCAGGUUAAUACCCCGCUGUUCUGACGGUACCCAAAGAAUAAGCACCGGCUAACUUCGUG